AAUGGCGGAAGAAAUGUGAGUAAAAAGUUUCAUCACUCAUUGAACUUUGCCUUCGGUCAUGAUGUAGUCACUGAACUUUGAUAUGUUUCUGGCUGGUCACUGAACUUACAUGAAGUGACCUCCAUCCAUCACUUAGCAAACAGCCGUUGGAAGGGUGUCUAACGUGGCAUGACGGUAGUCUACGUGGCACGUUAGCAACAUCUCCUCUAAAUGAAAACACGACUCCGUGGCUGGAGAAAUCACGACUUUCACCAAAUGAAAAUGAAAACACCACCACUUCAAAUGAAAAGCCCUAAUCCUAUCUCAGAAAUUGAAAUUCCCAAAUCCCUCGCUCAAACCCGGCAACGAAGAAGAACCCUAGGAUUCGAUUCCCCUAAAUUCGAUUUCGAAAAGCUCGAAUUUCAGUCCCAAAUCGCGAUUUCAGUUAGUAAUGAAGCUUUUUACUCAUUGAAAAGCCAUAAUUCCAGUCCCAAAUUGCGACCAAAGGAGAACGAUUUUUAGCGAAUUGAACUCGAUUUUUCAGCGAUUUCCAGUCCCAAUUGAACCCAAUUUUCAGUGACUGGAACCGAGACGCAUCCUCGUCUUCGUCUUCCUGGCAGCACGAAACUGAUUUUGCUCACAAACCCACGGUUCGGUAGCCGACAUUUUUCAAAACGAGAAAGAGAUCAUGAUACGGUUACUGAGAACUACAUCCAUCUGUUUGAGCAUAUUUUAAGUGGUCAUGAUAUUGGUGAUUGCAAAUGUGAUGCCCAGUUGCUUGUGCUUUUCAUGUAGAAGGAAAAUUGAGCAAGUCUGGUUGAUGAAUUAUUUAUCUGAGAUGGAGUGGAAUACGAGGUGGGAUUGGUAGAACUUUGUUAUGUUCGGCUCCAAAGUGAUUGAUAGCUCCAAGAAGGUAGUAUCAGCAGAGUGGAUGAGUAUGGAUUAUGGGGAAAUUUCGUUCAAUUUGUCUGGUGACGGUGGGAAUAGUGGUGGUUCUGGUUAGGAAGUUGGGCAUGGUUCUAUUGCUAAGAGCUCAAUAUCAGCUUCUUCAGAUUCUUUACCAAAGGAUGGGAUGAAAACUCCCAAUUUCAAUUUUCAGGCAUUUGAGGGCUCUGCUGGAGAUUUUAGCAAGAAAAUUGAAAGCAACAGAAAUCAGAUUUCAAUACAUUUAUUCGUAGUAUUUUGCUUCAUUUCUAACUGUGCUUGUUUCGGCUUAGUAUUUUGCUUCGGUUUUAUGUACCUUUAUUUGUAAUGAUGUUCACACUAAUUCAGUUAUUGAUACAAGAUCUUAUUUACUUGUUCGA